rnacentral:lncRNA from 1 species
CCCUAGUCAUGGACUGUUCUCUCUCAUAAGACUCCUAAUCAAAUGGCUACCUAUACUAUUUGCACCCCCCCCCCCCCCCCGCGCUGCUGCUACUGUCUGUUAUUUCUAUGCAUAGCCACUUUAACAACCCUACCUGCAUGUACAUAAUUGUUAAUUACCUCGACACCAGUUCCCCGCACAUUGCCUCUGUAUCGGUACCCCCUGUAUAUAGCCCCGCUAUUGUUAUUCACUGCUGCUCUUAAUUAUUUGUUUUUCUUAUCUCUUACUACUUAAUUUUUAUUUUUUAGGUAUUCUCUUAACCGCAUCGUUGGUUAAGGGCUUGUAAGUAAGCAUUUCACUGUAACCUGUUGUAUUUGGCGCAUGUGACAAAUACAAUUUGAUUUGAAACAAUACAUGCCAGCUCUUUUUCUUUUUUUGCACGCUGGAAUAUUGUGGUGAGGUUAUUGCUGUUUUACCAUGGUUAUUUCAAAUAUUAAAGGUCAACUUACCAAGACUUGUGUGAGAAAUUGUGUUCAGGUUACUUUAAAAUACAAUUAUUUAAUUGAAAAAUAGUGUUUUUGGAUGUUUCUUGGCUUUAAUGAUCUCCUCUUUCUAUGAUCCAUCUGUGAGCUUCUGAGUGUUGGGGUGAACUCCUGGCUGUUAUGUAACUCAGUGUUUUUUCUUCCCUGGCCUGCACAGCUGCAGCACAGAAGGGGAGAGAGGCUGAGCAGACAGAACUGGCCCUUUGGCAUUGGACCCUCAGUCUGCAGGCCAAGGUGCUGGAGGCUAUGGGUCGCGGAGCAGCACCGGAAGCAGGAGAGGCUGGCCCAGGCUGCCCAGUUCUAUAGAGACCAGCUUCUGAGGAAAGGGGUGGCCCACGCAGCUCACAUGGGCAGCUUCUGCACCAACAUAGCACUUCACAGCCAGGAGCAGAGUUCUUCGCGGUGUCUCCAGGGGUGGUGUUGCAGUGGAAACAGACAGCAGUGA